GUCUGUUUGCAGAUAUAAAGAGUCUAACCUGCCCGCUGAUUGAAUAUUGAAGGGCCGCGGUAUUCUGACCGUGCAAAGGUAGCAUAAUCAUUAGUCUUUUAAUUGGAGGCUUGUAUGAAUGGUUGGACAAGGGAAUUUCUGUCUCUAUAAUAAUUUUAAAAUUUGACUUUUAAGUGAAAAGGCUUAAAUGAUUUAGGGGGACGAUAAGACCCUAUAAAGCUUUACAUUUAAUUAAUUUAAAUUGAAUUAUAAGUAAAAUGAUAUAAAUUAAUAUUAUGUUGUGUUGGGGCGACAAGAGUAUAAAUAAAUUUAACUGCUUUUUGGUAAUACAUUUAUAUAUGUUUAUGGUGGGUUAAUGAUCCUCUUUAGGGAUUUAAAGAUUAAGUUACUUUAGGGAUAACAGCGUUAUUUUCUUUGAGAGUUCUUAUCGAAAAGAGAGUUUGCGACCUCGAUGUUGAAUUAAAAUUUCUAUAUAGUGCAGCAGCUGUAAUAGAAGGUCU
rnacentral:rRNA from 1 species